rnacentral:lncRNA from 1 species
GAUGGCUCCUGCUCUCUAACAAGCCAGGGUGGAGGAGAAUAAUAACAGCAACUCUUCUCACCAGCACUAGACAGUUAAGCUGCAGAAGCGCCUGAACAAACCCGUUUGAACACUCACACCAAGUUACCAGCACUUUCAGUUCCCACAGAACUUAAAUCUUCCUGAAAAGCUACUAACUAUAGCAGUAGGUUUCCUGUUUGAUAAGGGACACAGAGUUUGUUUACCUAUCCUGUUGAUGCAGAGAGAGAGAAGAAUCCAGGACUUGACGGUCAUGGUGGUGUGUCCCUGUAAUUACUUCAGAGAAAGCAGGGGAUCAGGAAGGGAAGGCUAGCUUGACCCUGUCUAAGAAAAGAAAGAACAAGACAGCCCAGGUCUCCUGAGUCUCAUUCCAAAUUUUAACUCAAUAGGUUUAGCAAGAUGCAAUCUACUUCUGAGGCCCCAGUACUUAUAAACGUGAGGAAGGUGGAUCUUGAAUUUGAGGCCUGUGUAGGCCUAGUAAAGUAAAACCCUAUCUCAGAAUAAAACAAAACAAAACCAAAAAACAGGUUUUCAUUCAACUUAUAUGAGUGACAGUUUUUCCUUUUUGAAAUAAAAUUUUUCUCUUACUGGAGAAAGAAAACAUGAUUCGAGGCCCCGAAUGUUAUUAGAACUCAAAACUCUAGCUGGUCUUUCAGGCUGGCUCAAGAGAGUAAUCUCACACUUGGGUCUUGAUCACCGACAUCCCUGACCCCACUACAUCCCCAGGUCUUUCUGACAAGUUGAGAGAGACUGACAUCUAUGGAUGUUCAGUAAGGAGCUGUAUGGGCAGAUAUCUGCAUAGCCUGUCACCUGGGUAUCAGCUAUAUAUGACUGGCAGGAUUAGGUCAUGGGGAAGUACUAAAAUAUAGACACAUAAGCACUCAUGUCCUUUUUUAACUGGGGGAAUAUGUAUGUAUGUAUAUACAAUCCCUACAUGAAUUAUGGUAGCUGGCAACAGCAUUGUAAUUCAAAGAUUUGCAAAUGCUGCAAGAUAAAGACCAGGUCAUCCAUUUGUGAGUUGGAGGUAAACAUUUUUAGAUUCUCUAUGAAUCCAAGAAAAGCCUAAGACAACCAAAAUGAACAUAAUAGUAAAGGUGGAAGACAAGGGAGCAACCUGUACUGUGUUAUUAAGUUCUAAGUGUCCUCAAAAGAACCUUUUUCUAGAAGACCAGAUUUCAAUUCCCAGAAACGACAUGGUGGCUCUGUAAUGGGAUCUGACGCCCUCUUCUGCUAAGUCUGAAGACACCGUGUACUCACAUACAUAAAAUAAACUAUGCCAGGUUAAUUCUAUAGAGUUCAGCCUCUUGUAGAGAGUAUUCAAGCAACACUGCCGAGUCUUCUCAUAUUCACUCACAUAAACAACCCCUUUUUAAUACUACUUUUUAUAUUGUAUAUAUUCAAUGUAUAAAAUGGUUUGAUGAUUCCAUUUCCACUGGUUUAUAAAGUACUUUGACCAAAUGUAAAAAGAUAUAAUAAAAAAUGUUUAUUUCCUAGU